rnacentral:lncRNA from 1 species
UCAGACUUCAGAGACCGCUUAAUCCAAAUAUUUUUCUUUUUUUUAUUUAUUUAGAUUCAGUAAUCACCUUUUAAUAUCUUCCUCUAAGUUUAACUUUAGCCUCCGUUUGGUUCGGGGUUAAGGAAAAAGUAGCUAUUCUAAGGAUAGAGUUAAGUUCAGGGUUAAAAUGGGGUUAAAGUUUUUUUGUGUUUGGUUGGGGGUUGGAGUUAAUCUAGAAUAAUAAAAAAUAGUGUUUGGUUGGAGUAGGUGGGAUAAGAAGAUAAUGAUUGAUAAAGAAGGAUAAUGAUUGGUUGGAGUAUGUGGGAUAAGAAAGAUAGUGGGUUAUUAUGAAUAGAAAAUAGUGUUUGAUUGGAGUUUGGUGGAGUUAGGUUGGGUUAGCUAACCCGGAAUAAUUUAUUUGAAGUGGGGUUAGGUGGGGUUAGCUAACCCCACCUAUUUUUUGAGAUGUUUGGGGAUAAUAUGGGGGUUAAGGGGUUAUUCCACCCCUUAACCCCCAACCAAAC